UACGUAGGGUGCAAGCGUUAAUCGGAAUUACUGGGCGUAAAGCGUGCGCAGGCGGUUCUGUAAGUCUGUCGUGAAAUCCCCGGGCUUAACCUGGGAAUUGCGAUGGAGACUGCAAGGCUAGAAUCUGGCAGAGGGGGGUAGAAUUCCACGUGUAGCAGUGAAAUGCGUAGAGAUGUGGAGGAACACCGAUGGCGAAGGCAGGUUACUGGACCAAUACUGACGCUGAGCUGCGAAAGCUAGGGGAGCAAACAGG
rnacentral:rRNA from 1 species